UAGGCGGGGAAGCGGAAGUGGGCGGAGCUCCGGCUGACUGGGAAAUGUCAGCCGCUUGACUGUGGACGAGUUUUCCUUUCCCGGGAGCCGGCAGGCCUUCUGGUGACCGCCGCCGCCGUCGCCUGUGAUCGUGGGUCUCAGACCCUGGACGGCUGUGGCGGACGUGGAGCUUCCCGGUCCCUUCCAGACGCUGUCUGGCGAGAUCGGACGUGAACAGAAUGGUCGAAAAGUAUACAUGAAUAACUUUGGUUAAUCAGAGUGACGUUCAAUAAUGAGUGGUGCAGCUUUGGGUCUCGAGAUUGUUUUUGUCUUUUUUCUGGCAUUAUUUCUACUUCAUCGAUACGGAGACUUUAAGAAACAACAUAGACUUGUAAUUGUUGGAACACUCCUUGCUUGGUAUCUCUGCUUUCUUAUUGUCUUCAUACUGCCUCUGGAUGUUAGUACGACAAUCUACAACCGGUGCAGGCAUGCCGCUGCAAAUUCCAGCCCUCCUGAGAAUAACAGUACAGCAAUUGUUACCCCCGUUCCAAGCAGCCAACAUCCAUGUUUUAAGCCAUGGAGUUACAUUCCAGAUGGAAUCAUGCCAAUUUUCUGGAGGGUAGUAUAUUGGACAUCGCAAUUUUUAACAUGGAUUCUCUUACCCUUUAUGCAGUCAUAUGCAAGAUCUGGAGGAUUUUCUAUCACUGGAAAAAUAAAAACUGCACUGAUUGAGAAUGCAAUCUAUUACGGCACCUAUUUGCUGAUUUUUGGAGCAUUUUUAAUUUAUGUAGCUGUAAACCCACGUUUACAUUUAGAAUGGAACCAACUUCAGACAAUUGGAAUUGCUGCUGCCAAUACCUGGGGUCUGUUUCUUCUUGUGUUGUUGUUGGGGUAUGGUUUGGUGGAAAUUCCUCGGUCAUACUGGAAUGGAGCAAAAAGGGGUUAUCUACUUAUGAAAACUUAUUUCAAGGCAGCCAAACUGAUGACAGAGAAAGCAGAUGCAGAAGAGAAUUUGGAAGAUGUUAUGGAGGAGGUUCGUAAAGUGAAUGAAAGCAUCAAGUAUAACCACCCAUUGAGAAAAUGUGUUGAUACAAUACUUAAAAAGUGCCCUACAGAGUAUCAGGAAAAAAUGGGUAGGAACAUGGAUGAUUAUGAAGAUUUUGAUGAAAAGCGUAAUACCUACCCAAGUGAAAAAAGUCUGGUAAAACUGCAUAAACAGGUGAUUUAUUCAGUUCAGAGGCACCGUCGAACUCAAGUGCAAUGGCAGAUUCUCUUGGAACAGGCAUUUUAUCUAGAAGAUGUAGCAAAAAAUGAAACUAGUGCAACUCAUCAGUUUGUUCACACCUUUCAAUCACCAGAGCCAGAAAAUCGAUUUAUCCAGUAUUUUUAUAAUCCUACAGUUGAAUGGUACUGGGAAUGUCUUUUGCGACCAUGGUUUUACAGGAUACUUGCUGUGGUUUUAUCCAUCUUCUCUGUGAUUGUUGUGUGGUCAGAGUGCACAUUCUUUAGCACAACUCCAGUCUUAUCCCUCUUUGCAGUCUUCAUACAGCUGGCAGAAAAAACUUACAAUUAUAUUUAUAUUGAGAUUGCUUGUUUUCUGUCCAUCUUCUUCCUAAGUAUCUGUGUUUAUUCUACUGUAUUUAGGAUUCGUGUAUUUAACUAUUAUUACUUGGCUUCACAUCACCAGACUGAUGCUUACAGUCUUCUUUUCAGUGGCAUGUUAUUUUGCCGCUUGACUCCUCCUUUAUGUCUUAAUUUCUUGGGUCUGACCCAUAUGGAUUCAUCCAUCUCUCACAAGAAUACUCAACCAACUGCUUAUACAUCUAUUAUGGGUUCCAUGAAAGUUUUAUCCUUUAUUGCAGAUGGAUUCUAUAUAUAUUAUCCUAUGUUGGUGGUAAUUCUGUGCAUUGCUACUUAUUUUAGUUUGGGAACCCGUUGUUUGAAUCUGCUUGGUUUCCAGCAGUUCAUGGGAGAUAAUGAUAUGACAUCAGAUUUAGUUGAUGAAGGAAAAGAAUUAAUCAGACGAGAAAAGAGAAAAAGGCAAAGCAAGAAGAGGUGAAAAUCGAAGAAGAGAAUGGAAAGACGUUAUGGACACAAUAGAGAAGAUUCCACUAGAAACAGAAAUGUCCAUCCUGACCCAAAAGAGUCAAAUUUCUCAGAUAUCAAUACCAAUUGGUGACCCUGUACUGUGUAGAAGGCAGUCUGUCACUGGGAGAGAGAUGAUGUUGCUGAAGGAGCCCUACCACUGAGGCCUCAGUGCGCAGAGAUCUACCUAAGACUGAGGAUUGAGCAGGAAAGCUGAACACCUUCUCCCACCCCGCAAGAAGUUUUAUGCAACAGUAGGCUAUGUGGGAGGAAAAGUACAGUCAUGGGGAGAGACCCCUUCUGGGGCAUAGGCACAAAGGGACUGCUGGAAUGUGAAGGUGGAAAGGAAUACUGGGAGAAAUCAUCAGACAACUUGAGGCCCUCCCAACAUGAGGCAAUGGCAGUCCAUUGUGGGAGAAAUGUGAAGUCUGUGGAGAUUUAAGGGAACUAAAGAAACAACAAAGUCCAAACCCAGAUUAACUACAGAUUAAAUGGAUUCAAUCCUACAACACUAAAUAACUCAUUCUGAGCACAUAACAAUUAUUUAAUCUAAUUUCUACUUUCUUUUAUACAAAAUGUCUGACAUUUAACCAAAAUAUGAGAUAUAUAAGGAAGUAGAAAAUAUGAGCCAUCUUAUUAGUCAACAUGCAGCUCAAAUGUUGGAAUAAUCAGACUGUACAAUGAAUUUGUACAUUAAAAUAUCUAUUGGCAAGAUUGGAUAAUGAAUGAACAGAAGGGGGUGAGAAUUUCUCCAGAUAGAUGAAAACUAUAUAAAAGGCAAAUGGGAAUGUUAUCAAUGGUUUUAAAGACAGACUUUGCAAUAUUGUAGAUUUGUCAUGAGAAUUAUUACGGAAGGGUGAACACCUGGUGGUGAAGGAACCCACCUACGGGACUGCAAAGAGAGUUCUGUCUUGGGAAAAAGGUUGUGUAAUAUAAAAAUAUUUCUGUAAACAUUUGUCUGAACAUUGAGGAAUGAAUGGUAUUUAUCUAGGUAGAGGGUUUUUUAAUCAGAAUGAGUGCAGGACUGAAAGAACCUUUAGAAGUAUUCAUGUUUUUCUCUGUGACUACAGCCUAAGCAUAAGGUGGCUGAUAAGAAAGGAAGCCACAGAGAAGUUGGGGGGAACAGACACUGUCAUGCUCAAAAGUUUAGAUUUUAUCCCAAAGGUAAGAUUUUAAUCUGGGAAGAAGCUUGAUAAAGAUGAAUUUGAUGCCAUGAUUUUCAGAAAAGAAAAUCAUAAAAAAUCUUUUUAGAGUCUGUUAUAGUAAUGCAAUCAAGAAACUAUGAGGGCCUAAAAUAAGGCAGGGAUGCUGGAAAUGAAAAGAAAAGGGUUUAUUUAAAUGAUAUAUAGGGUAGGAUUAAGAAGAAGAGGGCUAAAGUUUUGGUUUAAAGCUAGGAAAUGGAGGAAUCUGUAAGAAAUUUGAACUCUUAGUCACCGAGUAGAAGUUUAUAGAAUGGAAAGAUCUGGGAGUAUGGGAGAAUGGUUAAGAGAGGAGGAGGAUACAGUCUGUAAAAAUAAAUAAAUUAAUUAACUAAUUAAUUAAAAAAAAGAGAGGAGGAGGCACAAAACCUUACAUGAAUUAGAGAGAACCUGGAAUGUGGUAUUUAACCACUAUUUGCUGAAUGAAUGAGAAAUAUAAUGAAGGCUUGUAUUUAGGGCUGAGUCUGAGAUGACAAAAAUGUAAGGUGUGGAUAGUGUGUCUUCAGUUUUUAAAAUGAACCAUAUUAGAAGUUGUUUGGUAUCUACUUGGUUUAUUUACAACAACAUGGUGAGAAUUUAAGUUGCUUAUGUAGAAAUCCCCAUCUGUGAACUGGAAAUGAGGCUCAAUGGUAGACUGUCUGCCUGGCAUGCAAGAAGCCCUGGUUUUGAUUCCCUACUACUGCAAAUAAAUAAUAAAGAUACACAACAAUACUUCAUUGCUUUAAAAAAAAAAUCUUCAUCUAUGUAGAAAAGGAAAAAGUAGUUCUAUAGAUCUGUACUGAUUAGGAUGAUAACCAUUAGCCACAUGUGACCAUUGAGCACUUGCAAUGUGGCUAGCAACCCAGUUGAUAACAUUGUGAAUAUAUUGGAUUAAAUUAAAUAUAAUAAAGUUCAUUUCACCUUUAUAUUUUACUUUUUUCAUACAGUACUAGAAAUUUCAAAUUAAAUAUGGAACUCAGAUUUUAUUUUUUGCUGGCCAGUAUCACCUAUGUCCUUACCUCAUGGGAAAAGACUAAGGCCUUUCUUCAAAAGCUUGAGUUGAUUAUGCUGUAAAUUCCUAGCCAAAAAUGAGAUUCACUAUGAAACCAACUGAAACUUGAUUUGAUAAUGAAUAAUUUCACUACUAACAAUACCAUAGUUAAAUAGUAAUUCUGAUCUGCCUCUCAUCUUGGUCUAGCUACAAGGCUAGAGAAAUUUUCCUUAUUAAUUCUAUUAUACUAUUUGCAGUUUAAAUCUGAUUUUUAAAGAACCAUGUCAGUUAUCUUUUCUCAUGUUAUUUGUUUUCACAAUCAAGAUUC